rnacentral:rRNA from 1 species
GCAUAACGCGAAGAACCUUACCAGGGCUUGACAUCCCUCUGAAAUCUCUAGAGAUAGAGGCUCCCUUCGGGGCAGAGGUGACAGGUGGUGCAUGGUUGUCGUCAGCUCGUGUCGUGAGAUGUUGGGUUAAGUCCCGCAACGAGCGCAACCCUUGUCCUUAGUUGCCAGCAUUUAGUUGGGCACUCUAGGGAGACUGCCGUCGACAAGACGGAGGAAGGUGGGGAUGACGUCAAAUCAUCAUGCCCCUUAUGUCCUGGGCUACACACGUGCUACAAUGGAUGGAACAACGGGCAGCUAACUCGCGAGAGUACGCAAAUCCCUGAAAACCAUUCUCAGUUCGGAUUGCAGGCUGCAACUCGCCUGCAUGAAGCCGGAAUCGCUAGUAAUCGCGGAUCAGCAUGCCGCGGUGAAUACGUUCCCGGGUCUUGUACACACCG